GGGAGUGUCUUUGGCUGGCCUAGGGGUCAGUGGAAAGUCCCACCAUUGAGUGAGCUCAUCCAUUGUAAAGAGCAUACAUGUGCGUUAGUAGUCCUGUAGAGUCUACAGGAUACUAGGACCAUGCUUCAUUAAUAAAGGUAGGCUGGGUGACUUU